AAAAGUCUUACCUGCCCAGUGAUUUUUAAAUGGCCGCAGUAUUUUGACUGUGCAAAGGUAGCAUAAUCAUUUGUUUUUUAAUUGGAAUCUGGGAUGAAAGGUUAAACGAGAGAUUUUCUGUCUCUUUUUAAAUUAUGAAUUUUAUUUUUAAGUUAAAAAGCUUAAAUUUAAUUAAAAGACGAGAAGACCCUAUAGAGUUUUAUUUUAUUUAUUUAAAUAUUUUUGUUUAUUUAUUUAAUUAAAAUUUAAUUGGGGUGAUUGAAAUAUUUAAUUAACUUUUUUUAAUUUUUAAUAUUGAUUUAUAGAUUUUUGAUCCAUAAUUUUUGAUUGUAAGACUAAAUUACCUUAGGGAUAACAGCGUAAUUUUUCAUUAGAGUUCUAAUUGAAUGAGAAGUUUGCGACCUCGAUGUUGGAUUAAAAUAUAAUUAUGGUGCAAAAUCUAUAAUUUUAGGUCUGAUUAAAAUAUAAUUAUGGUGCAAAAUCUAUAAUUUUAGGUCUGUUGGAUUAAAAUAUAAUUAUGGUGCAAAAUCUAUAAUUUUAGGUCUGAUUAAAAUAUAAUUAUGGUGCAAAAUCUAUAAUUUUAGGUCUG
rnacentral:rRNA from 1 species